AAAAUAAAAAUAGAAUUGGAACUGAAACCUUCAAUAAUGAUGACAGCAAAAGGCUUCAUUGUCCUGAGAACAACAGCUAACACAGCCAUUUCCCACAGCAGCGGGGGCAUGAAAGCCUAGUUCCUCAGCUGUGUGUGCAGAGGGUGGGAGUCAAGAGUGCUGAGCAGAGAACAAGUCCUGGAAGGCUGGAGUGCUCAGCAGAGAUUUCAGAAGUCGCCCAGAGCUGGAAGACACUGGCACUGAGACCCAGCUAGAGUGGAGAGACAAGGUGCACAUGCUGUGACUUCCUAUGAGAUCCCAGAAAGGCCACACACAGUAUCACCUGUCAUCUGCCUGUUCCCUGUGCGUGAGGAGAGCUGGAAGACAACAUGCAGUCAGAAUCGGGACAGAACCGAAGAGGCCUCGCUCCUGCAGGGAAGGAGUCUACAAUGCACAAGCCACCGUCCGCUGG